CGAGUCGGCCUGCGCGGAAGAUGUAACGGGGCUAAAACUAUGUGCCGAAGCUGCGGAUGUAUACUUUGUAUACGUGGUAGGGGAGCGUUCUGUAAGCCGAUGAAGGUGUGUUGAGAAGCAUGCUGGAGGUAUCAGAAGUGCGAAUGCUGACGUGAGUAACGACAAAACGGGUGAAAAACCCGUUCGCCGAAAGACCAAGGGUUCCAGUCCAACGUUAAUCGGGGCUGGGUGAGUCGACCCCUAAGGCGAGGCCGAAAGGCGUAGUCGAUGGGAAAAUGGUUAAUAUUCCAUUACUUCUGUGUAAUGCGAUGAGAGGACGGAGAAGGCUAAAUCAGCCUGGCGUUGGUUGUCCAGGUGAAAGGAUGUAGGCAUGUAUCUUAGGCAAAUCCGGGGUACUCUAUGCUGAGAUCUGAUAGCAAGCUGUACUUGUACAGCGAAGUGGUUGAUGCCAUGCUUCCAGGAAAAGUCUCUAAGCUUCAGUUACACAGGAAUCGUACCCGAAACCGACACAGGUGGUCAGGUCGAGUAGACCAAGGCGCUUGAGAGAACUCUGCUGAAGGAACUAGGCAAAAUGGUACCGUAACUUCGGGAGAAGGUACGCUGUUGUUGGUGAUGGAACUCGCUUCCUGAGCUGACGACAGCCGCAGAAACCAGGCCGCUGCAACUGUUUAUUAAAAACAUAGCACUCUGCAAACACGAAAGUGGACGUAUAGGGUGUGAUGCCUGCCCGGUGCUGGAAGGUUAAUUGAUGGGGUUAGCGUAAGCGAAGCUCUUGAUCGAAGCCCCAGUAAACGGCGGCCGUAACUAUAACGGUCCUAAGGUAGCGAAAUUCCUUGUCGGGUAAGUUCCGACCUGCACGAAUGGCAUAAUGAUGGCGGCGCUGUCUCCAGCAGAGGCUCAGUGAAAUCGAAAUCGCUGUGAAGAUGCAGUGUACCCGCGGCUAGACGGAAAGACCCCGUGAACCUUUACUGCAGCUUGACACUGAACUUUGACCUUACUUGUGUAGGAUAGGUGGGAGGCUUUGAAGCUGGAACGCUAGUUCCAGUGGAGCCGUCCUUGAAAUACCACCCUGGUAAUGUUGAGGUUCUAACUCUGUCCCGUGAUCCGGGACGAGGACCGUGUCUGGUGGGUAGUUUGACUGGGGCGGUCUCCUCCUAAAGAGUAACGGAGGAGUACGAAGGUGCGCUCAGCGUGGUCGGAAAUCACGCGUAGAGUAUAAAGGCAAAAGCGCGCUUAACUGCGAGACCCACAAGUCGAGCAGGUACGAAAGUAGGUCUUAGUGAUCCGGUGGUUCUGUAUGGAAGGGCCAUCGCUCAACGGAUAAAAGGUACUCUGGGGAUAACAGGCUGAUACCGCCCAAGAGUUCAUAUCGACGGCGGUGUUUGGCACCUCGAUGUCGGCUCAUCUCAUCCUGGGGCUGAAGCAGGUCCCAAGGGUAUGGCUGUUCGCCAUUUAAAGAGGUACGCGAGCUGGGUUUAGAACGUCGUGAGACAGUUCGGUCCCUAUCUACCGUGGGCGCUGGAAAUUUGAGAGGAUCUGCUCCUAGUACGAGAGGACCAGAGUGGACGAACCUCUGGUGUACCGGUUGUGACGCCAGUCGCAUCGCCGGGUAGCUAUGUUCGGAAGGGAUAACCGCUGAAAGCAUCUAAGCGGGAAGCCUACCUCAAGAUAAGAUUUCCCUAGGACUUUAUGUCCUCUAAAGAGCCGUUCGAGACUAGGACGUUGAUAGGUUGGAUGUGGAAGCAUAGUGAUAUGUGAAGCUGACCAAUACUAAUUGCUCGUGAGGCUUGACUAUACAACACCCAAGCAGUUG
rnacentral:rRNA from 1 species